UACGUAGGGGGCCAGCGUUGUCCGGAUUCAUUGGGCGUAAGGCGCGUGUAGGCGGCCAGGUAGGUCCGAUGUGAAAUCUGGAGGCUCAACCUCCAGCGGUCAUUGGAAACCAUCUGGCUAGAGUCCGGAAGAGGAGAGUGGAAUUCCUGGUGUAGCGGUGAAAUGCGCAGAUAUCAGGAAGAACACCAAUGGCGAAGGCAGCUCUCUGGGACGGUACUGACGCUGAGACGCGAAAGCGUGGGGAGCGAACAGG
rnacentral:rRNA from 1 species